UACGUAGGGGGCAAGCGUUUGUCCGGAUUUAUUGGGCGUAAAGAGCGUGUAGGCGGCCAUACAGGUCAGCUGUGAAAACUCGAGGCUCAACCUCGAGACGUCGGUUGAAACCGUAUGGCUAGAGUCCGGAAGAGGAGAGUGGAAUUCCUGGUGUAGCGGUGAAAUGCGCAGAUAUCAGGAAGAACACCCGUGGCUAAGGCGGCUCUCUAGUACGGUACUGACGCUGAGACGCGAAAGCGUGGGGAGGCGAACAGG
rnacentral:rRNA from 1 species